rnacentral:rRNA from 1 species
GAUGAACGCUGGCGGCGUGCCUAACACAUGCAAGUCGAGCGGAGCGGGGACGGGUGAGUAACACGUGGGUGACCUCCUAUAAGACUGGGGUAAAUUCGGGGAACCGGAGCCUAACCGGCAUAUUAUCGAUGGUGCUGUGCUGCAUUAGCUAGUUGGUAGGGUAACGGCUUACCAAGGCAACGAUGCGUAGCCGACCUGAGAGGGUGACCGGCCACACUGGAACUGAGACACGGUCCAGACUCCUACGGGAGGCAGCAGUGGGGAAUCUUGCGCAAUGGGCGAAAGCCUGACGGAGCAACGCCGCGUGAGUGAAGAAGGUCUUCGGAUCGUAAAACUCUGUCAUUAGGGAAGCGGUACCUAAUCAGAAAGCCCCGGCUAACUCCGUGCCAGCAGCCGCGGUAAUUC